UGCAAAGCAGACCGCGAACACUUUUCUAACGCCAUCCCCCGCCGCAGCGCGCGCACUCGUGCCGCGCGGCGUGCGGGCUAACGAACCCCGGCGCGGAACGCGCCAAGGAAAACUUAAAUUUAGCAUCGGUCCCGCCCCGCAUCCCGUUCGCGGGCCGUGCGGUGCGGAACGGGCGUCUAUCGAAUGUCAUAACGACUCUCGGCAACGGAUAUCUCGGCUCUCGCAUCGAUGAAGAACGUAGCGAAAUGCGAUACUUGGUGUGAAUUGCAGAAUCCCGUGAACCAUCGAGUCUUUGAACGCAAGUUGCGCCCGAAGCCAUUAGGCCGAGGGCACGUCUGCCUGGGCGUCACGCAUCGCGUCGCUCCCCCCACCCACGUUGGCGAGGGGGGCGGAUAUUGGCCUCCCGUGCGCCUCGGCGUGCGGCCGGCCCAAAUGCGAUCCCCCGGCGACUCGUGUCGCGACAAGUGGUGGUUGAACAUCUCAAUCUCGCGUCUCGUCGUGCCGCCGAGCCGUCCGUGGUGAUCCAAACGAUGACCCAACGGAGCUUGCUCCUUCGA
rnacentral:rRNA from 1 species